rfam:Jatropha curcas cultivar GZQX0401 scaffold905_18, whole genome shotgun sequence.
CUGCACGAUGCCUCCCGGGCUUCUCUGAAUGUAUCAGUGACGAUGAAAGCCCCAAUGCACGUGCUAAAGUGAUGCCGUUUAGUGUUGCAGUUUGGCUUUUCUCUCUCUAGGGCCGAUCUGUGUCAAAUCAACGGUUAUAUCU